CUCCGUUUGUCUGUAUACCCAAUAUCCACUUACUAUUCCUAAACAUUCCAUUACAUUCCUAUUCCUGCAACAAAUUGGCGGAUUGGUAAUGAAUGGAAUAACUUAUACGUUCAUCUUACAAUUUUCCGGAGCGUUUCAAAACAUGGAAUAUUAUAUGGCAAAUUGGAAACUGAGUCUGACUAUACCUACGACAGCAAAAGAAAAGUUUGUGACAAACAUUUCACAGACAGGGAUCGAAACCAUUACAAGAGACUUAAUGCACUUGCUGUCCCAUCUCUUCAUUUGUUGGACAACUUUGCUGUGCUUGGAGAUAGCAACAGGGUCUCAAGCAAGACUCAAGCUCUUCUAAAACAAAAAAAUUAUAGUGGAAUAUGUACACAGCAUGAUGCAGCUUUACUGUCCAUCUUAACGGACCACAAUUACUGUACGGUGAGCCGGUAUAUGACGGAUGUCUUCCAAGAAAGGAGGAACCAAAAAUACCGUACUUCGAUACCUGCGCAGCGAGAUUUGUGUAAGAGAGCGAAAUCUUUCAAAGACAGACUAUCCCAGGCUGCUAAAUUGUGCAAAGUCAAUGCCUUUGUAGAGGUGGUGAAAAAUAUGAGCAAAUCAACUCAGCUUCGAAAGGUCGACGAUUUACCGUUGGUGAAAAAGUGCCCUUUCACUUUAUAAAAAAAGUCCCAAAGGUUAUGGAUUGCUCUACAAAUAGUUAACAUUACCUUCAAGCAAAUCGAUGAAGCGUCUGUGAUCAAGUGAAAAUUUGUAUGGGUAUAAAUCCUACGUAUUCCAAAAAAUCCGCCAUACUGUGCUGCGGAAUUAAAAACAAGACCGCGUCUGCAGCUUAAUAUUUGAUGAAAUGUCAUUGAGAGCCCAAGUGACAUAUAAUGCGUCAAAGGACAGUUUGGAAGGAUUUGACAAAAGAAAUGCUGUAUACCAUUCACACCAUAGAGAGAGUUAAAUGGGAGUAUUAUCAGCAAGUAUAUGCCGCCGACAAAAGGUGCAUUGUAAGAUAAAAUAACUGAAGAACACUUGGUGCCCGAUAAAAUGAACAAAAUGAGGGUGAAGUUGGCAGCGGAUCAUCUCACUACCGGGGGUGAUGUGCCGGAAGAAUGCAAAAAUUUAAUAGACAUUACAUAUUAGAUAAUAUUUUUGACAGCUUAAAUAUAAGCUCUUUUCAUGUGCCAAAUGGCAAAAAGUAUAAAGGUGCAGUAGAAAGAAACUUAAACCCCAUUUUAAACUGUGGAGGGAGGCACGAAAAGUUUAAAAAAAAUCGGGUGUCUGUAAAGUCGGGAAAUGGAAAUCACAAUUGAAUUGAUCAAGUUGCAUUUAUUUGUACGCAUAAAUACAAUUAUGUCAAUUUUAAAUGGAACGCCUCAGAGCGAUGUAACGCCGCAUGAGUCAUGUUUUUUCGUGCGUGCAGCCGGCUCCAUCGAAUUAUAAGACGUCACGUCAAAAAUCAGGUUUACUGAAGUCACUAUCAGUAACUAACCUAAUAAAGACCAUUGAAGGAAUAUGGAAAGUCGUCACAAAACAAUACGGCUUAGAUGCAUUAUUAACAAGAAACUUAAACCAAGACCCAGUUGAGAAUUUCUUCGGGAACAUUGGGAGUUACGGAGUGAGAAAUGUUGCCCCUAACACUAGGGUUUGAAAGCGCACACAAGGCGUUACUGUUGAAUAAGAGCGAGGCCCCAUUAGUACGUUGUGAUGCGUCAUUUUUCAUAUAUUUUUUAUAACAUGCCCCUCUAGACCGUUGCGUCGGCGUGGGAGGGUGAUGCGCUGCGUUGUCGAAGCGCCGCUGCGACGACGGACAGUGAUCCAUUACCAGAGGAGGAAGCUAGACGAGCGUAACGACAUUUUUUAACAUCAUGAGUGAACAGGAGAUUGAUAUUCUCAUAUCUUUGGUUCAAGAAAGACACGUAUAAUCGCCUAAAAUAUAUAUAUCGCCGAUAAAUCACACGAACACUACAGUGAUAAAUUUCGUUAAGCGAAUGAAUGGGCAGCUGUUUGUAAAAUAAUAUUUCAAGAUUACGAGGAAUUUGAGGACCAAAAAAAGAACAAGAUUGGUAACGAGAUCGUGAAAAAAUGGAUAAGCGUGAGGGACAACUUUUUCGAUAUGUAAAAAAAUUAAAAGAACAGUUCGUCUGGAUCAGGGGCAAAACAAUUUAAAAAAUAUCAUUAUUACAAUCAGUUGCAAUUUUUGUUGAAAAUUGCCCAAAAUAAAACUGACAGUAGCCUUGAAAACGUGCCUGAUGAAACGGAACGAAACAAAAACACAACAUCAUCUUCUCCAUCUCAAGAAAUGUCCUCGUUACCCCCAGGACCUUCUCGCUACGUGCAAGCCGCAAGAGACAAACCAAGCAAUAGAUGAUUUCGAGGCGCAAUCAUUAGAGGCGUUGCAUGAGACAGAAAACCACUUAUCAUUUUUCAAAGGAAUUUUGCCUUCUUGCCGUCCAGGCUUUACGGAAUUACAGACUUUGACAUUUCAAAGCAAAGUUAUAAAUAUCAUUACCGAAAUGCGGUUCGGGGAACAGACUCAAUCAACACCAUUGCAGUCACGCUGAUAUCAAACUGGGAAACAGUAUCAUGCAACACCAUUGCAGUCACGCGGAUAUCAAACCGGGCAACAGUAUCAUGC